CACGUAGGGCGCAAGCGUUGUCCGGAAUUAUUGGGCGUAAAGAGCUCGUAGGCGGUCUGUUGCGUCCGCUGUGAAAUCUCGGGGCUUAACCCCGAGCCUGCAGUGGAUACGGGCAGACUAGAGGUAGGUAGGGGCGUGCGGAACUGUGGGUGGAGCGGUGAAAUGCGUUGAGAUCCACAGGAACUCCGGUGGCGAAGGCGGCACGCUGGACCUUUUCUGACGCUGAGGCGCGAAAGCCAGGGGAGCGAACGGG
rnacentral:rRNA from 1 species